rnacentral:rRNA from 1 species
CGCAGGUGCCAGCGCAGCAGUAAUAGCACCAGUUUCCAACAAAUCACUGAAAUGAAGCAACGUUGUGCGUGGUUGGUAACUGGACGAGUGAUUGUCUUGAAUACACGUGCUGCUGGGC